rnacentral:rRNA from 1 species
CUCAGUAGCGGCGAGUGAAGCGGCAAGAGCUCAGAUUUGAGCACGAGUUGUAGAGUGUAGGUGGGAGUCUGGAACAGGGCGCCUGAGAGGGUGAGAGCCCCGUGGGGUGGUGCGAAGCUUUGAGGCCCUGCUGACGAGUCGAGUUGUUUGGGAAUGCAGCUCGGGUGGUAAAUUCCAUCUAAGGCUAAAUAUGGCGAGAGACCGAUAGCGAACAAGUACUGUGAAGGAAAGAUGAAAAGCACUUUGAAAAGAGAGUGAAACAGCACGUGAAAUUGUUGAAAGGGAAGGGUAUUGGGCCCGACAUGGGGAGUGCGCACCGCUGUUCUUGUAGGCGGCGCUCUGGGCGCUCUCUGGGCCAGCACCGGAAAGUGGCUCUUCGGAGUGUUAUAGCCGGCGCGUGUGGGGACCGAGGACUGCGGCUUCUGUCUCGGAUGCUGGCACAACGGCGCAAUACCGCCCGUCUUGAA